ACUUGGAAUGGUAAACGGACGAGAGGCCGUGGUUUGCUAUAUGGAUAAGCCGUCUUAUCGGAUUUUCUCUCCGCGGGAUAAAUAUGUAAAUCCUAAUCCUAAAACCAUUACGGACUUUCAUACGAACCAUCGGAGAGACAGAGAGAGUUUAUUUCAUUUUGUCAAACCAAGUAAACAAUUUAUGCACACAUAAACAAAUAUCAAAAAAAUAGUUUUCGGUAUAUGACUGGGGGGCAACGAUACGACCUUUGGGGGUCAUCAGAGUCAGUUGCCACCCAAUUAUAUUAAAUAAGCAUAAAAAUAACAGGUUCGUGUCAAUAUAUCAAUGUCUCUCACGAUUUAUACUAUGUACAAUAUUUACAUGAAUUUACUAUUUUCAAUUAUGGAAGCAUUCUUUUAAAUAAUGGGAUUUUGCACAAAUUGAAAUUAUAUUGCAAAAUAUAAAAUGAUCGAAACGAAAAAAAGCGUGACGGUUGCUGCCAGACACUGUUUUUACUCAAUGACAUUAAACAAUGUUUAAUGUCAUUGUUUUACUUCACUCUUGGGGGACGAGGCGGUUUCGCUUUUCAUUCGCGAGUUGGAGCUGUUGCUUGGUUGAGGGCCAAUGUUGCACCUGGAGUGUAUUGGAUCAGGUGGAACUCGUAAUAUCUUUUUCGAAGGUAUAAAAUACGGUACCGUACUAUAUAUACUAUGCUGACGAUAUUAGAUUGCAUGUCCGGCUACCAGUACUGCAGUACCUGGUAGCACUGAAGUCCGGUACAGUACCUACUACCUGCCAUACAGUUCUUCAAGUUGUGUCAAUGCCACUGCUUACUACCGCGUUUCCCCGAAAAUAAAACUUUGUCCGAAUUAUGAAAAUUAUUGUAAUAUAAGCCCUUUAAAAUGAUAGUCCAUACCUAAAUUAGAAGAAAUUGUAACUUGAUGGCAAAUUUGUGGAGCGAAAUCACAGGCUGAAAGACGUCUGUUUGCUGUUGUUGACUUGACUACAUAAGGAAAUAAUACACAAAUUAAAGGCACAGCUUAUACAAUAAAGAAACGGAUUUAGUCGCAAUUUAAAAGCAGGUAGCUUUCAUCGCAAGAAACAGAAGGGAUCAUCAUAAGUCUGCGACACCAACAUUUGAAAUCAGUCAAAAAUUGAAAUAAUAAAAAAGGUACGAAUGCGAAAGCAGAAUUCAUACUCCAUGUACAUCCAACAUAUGAGAUUUGAAAGUGAGAAGAGAAAAUGAUGCAGUUUAAAUCUGACUGUGAAAUAGGAAAAACAGUCUUGGUGAACUUAUUGCCACCAACUAACAAAUGUCAGCCGGGCCAUCAAAAAUCCAGAGAACAGAAAUAUAUUCAAGCCUUAUAAAGGUGAUUGCAUGAGUAAUAGAAAAUUCAGAAUUAGGUGAUUGAGAUGGUGAUUAUACAAUCACAAAAAGAGCUGUGGUGAAGUUCAAACAAAGUGUACCCUUGCUAAGAAUUCUUGGUUGGGAAAGUUGAAUUGUGUUCUCAUGUUGUUGCAAUAUAUUUUGAACCUACUUAUGUUGGGAAUUCUAAAUUAAGCAAAAUAUUAUUGUGUUCAAAUUUGAAUAAAGAAAUUGUUUCUUUUUUAUUAAUGCUGUUGCAACUAAAGCCAGUGUAAUAAGACCAGAUCCCAAUUUAUUGUAAAUUUGAGACAUAACUUUCUUCAAAAAAUUAAGUCUACCUUAAAUUUCAAAUGCCAUUCACUUAUUAAUUUCUUGCAUAUCACCAUUAUUGCAAUUUAUACAAAUCAACUUAUGUAAAAUUUCAUUUUUAAUAAAAAUAAAAAAUAUCAUAAUUAAUGUCGAGUGUUCGAGGGGUGCGAGUUUGACAUCCUCUGGUCUACCGUGCUGAGAAUGCAUUUAAAUGAUAUUCAGGCUUCAGCCCCGAUCAUCUAUUAAACAAAUUCCACAUCCAGUAGGGCAUUUAUGCAGAGUCCCAACAACUUGGGGUAUCAUUCCUUUUCCUAAUUUUCAAUUUUAAUCUUUCCUAUGCUUGCUAAAACAUGCUUGGUACCUAAUCAAGGGUGAAAUUUCUUUUCCUGAUAGCUGCUUUCUCCCUCCAUACAGUUACAUUCUUUUGCAGUUCAUUACAAUAUACAAUACAAUUUUAUUUCGAUUACUCUUACUUUGCAAAGUACUUCAUUUCAUAGAUAGCUCUUAGGUAUGUAAUCCUUUUCCUCUGGAAAGUUUAUCUCUGCUCAGUAUAUUCCAGUGCAAUGACUGAAUGAGAAAAUCCAGUCUGCCAGUACGGUACCAUCACUUUUGAAGUAGCUCCGUCUGAUUUGUGUGACUGUGUAACAGAGCAGCUCAAAUGCAUAACAGAUAUACAAGCUAGUUUGUAUUCAAUCUAUAAAUGAGAAAAAGACUGUUGAAAAAACGCUAACACACAACGAUAUAUUUAAACAAGUCAGAGCAACGCACAAGUAUAAACCUGACGAAACGUGCUACGCAACGAGUGUCCCCCUAAACAGCACAAAAACGUAGCUGGCAGCAUCGGUCAUGAAAGUUGGUAAUGGCAAGAGCUGCUGCGGUUCGUGCGUGGCGCGAGCUGCCAUGAAGUGGUAAGAACCGCGCCUCGACAAAGAUGUCCCUACCCUACUUCUGUACUUGUGUCUGAAUGUGUUAUUCUGACAUAUAAGAUUAUAGAACAACGGGACCUUCCAUACGACAGUAUCUGUAGCUUACCGAACAGCCCUAACACUGUUCUGCUGUUAUAGAACAUGGACACCAGACGCUAGAACAGUGGUCGGGAUUCUCGGGAUCGGGAACCACCUGGGAUACCCUGGCCGCUAAUUCCCAGCAUCCGAUUCUUCAGGAAGAUAAAUCGUAAAACCAUAGUUACCGUAGACUAUGAUAAAACUGGGUAAAACCAAAGCCC